rnacentral:rRNA from 1 species
AAUUGACGGGACCCGCACAAGCGGUGGAUCAUGUGUUAAUUCGAUGAUACGCGAAGAACCUUACCAGGUCUUGACAUCCCUUGCAAAGCUAUGGAGACAUAGUGGAGGUUAUCAAGGAGACAGGUGGUGCAUGGUUGUCGUCAGCUCGUGUCGUGAGAUGUUGGGUUAAGUCCCGCAACGAGCGCAACCCUUAUUGCUAGUUACCAUCAUUAAGUUGGGGACUCUAGCGAGACUGCCAGUGAUAAACUGGAGGAAGGUGGGGAUGACGUCAAAUCAUCAUGCCCCUUAUGACCUGGGCUACAAACGUGAUACAAUGGCUGAAACAAAGGGCAGCGAAGCAGUGAUGUGGAGCGAAACCCAAAAAAGCAGUCUCAGUUCGGAUUGAAGUCUGCAACUCGACUUCAUGAAGUUGGAAUCGCUAGUAAUCGUAGAUCAGAACGCUACGGUGAAUACGUUCUCGGGGUUU